rnacentral:snoRNA from 1 species
GCUAUACAUGAUGAACAUUAAGGGACUUAAUACUGAUGUAUGAUGUCACCUUUUUUGCAGUUCUGACUUGG